GCGGAGGAAAAGAAACCAACAGGGAUUGCCUCAGUAACGGCGAGUGAAGCGGCAAAAGCUCAAAUUUGAAAUCUAGCACUUUCAGUGUUCGAGUUGUAAUUUGAAGAAGGUAACUUUGGUUUUGGCUCUUGUCUAUGUUCCUUGGAACAGGACGUCACAGAGGGUGAGAAUCCCGUGCGAUGAGAUGCCCAAUUCCAUGUAAAGUGCUUUCGAAGAGUCGAGUUGUUUGGGAAUGCAGCUCUAAGUGGGUGGUAAAUUCCAUCUAAAGCUAAAUAUUGGCGAGAGACCGAUAGCGAACAAGUACAGUGAUGGAAAGAUGAAAAGAACUUUGAAAAGAGAGUGAAAAAGUACGUGAAAUUGUUGAAAGGGAAGGGCUUGAGAUCAGACUUGGUAUUUUGCGUUCCCUUCCUUUUUGGUUGGGUUCCUCGCAGUUUACUGGGCCAGCAUCGGUUUGGAUGGUAGGAUAAUGACAUUGGAAUGUAGCUUUACUUCGGUGAAGUGUUAUAGACUUUGUUGAUACUGCCUAUCUAGACCGAGGACUGCGUCUUUGACUAGGAUGCUGGCGUAAUGAUCUUAAGCCGCCCGUCUUG
rnacentral:rRNA from 1 species